rnacentral:misc_RNA from 1 species
CUUGCCUCCAUGCCCGCAGCAAGCUACUAGAGGAUGUUCGAACCCAUAUUUCUUAGCUUGGGUAAUAAGAGUGUACUUGACGGAAUAGACAUCAACAUAGGUGAAUGAUGCAAGAGGAAGGUCCUUUCUGAGCUUAGCGACAGUCCGAUUGAGUUCGACGUUGAAGAGUUUGGCAACAUCAUUGAAAGGUAUUCCACACCCGAAUCUAUCGAUUUCAGCGGCUCUGAGGGUAAGUCGUUCCAAGACGUAUGGUAGGCAGCCGAAGGGGCCAGUAUUAUGGAUCCAAAAUGACCUCCCACCCUCUUCAUAGAUAAUCUUUACUACUAUAACAAAUUUGUCGAGAACAUCUGGGAUGUAUGCUUUAACAUCUUCAGUGUUCAUACCGAGGAAAUAACCUGCCGUUAGAUCGUUCUGACCAAUGUCAAAUGUAUAUAGAGCACGAGAAAACAAUUCCUCUUUCGGUAAUAGGUCCUUGAACACUCCGCCUUGUGAGCAGAAGAAUUGGGACCUUAACUUGAACUGAGAGAACUGCCAGGAUUGCACAUCUAAUGAGAAUGGACUGAAGCCACUCUGGAAUAGAGUCUGAUUUUGUCGCCUGAUUGUCGAUCCCGCUGUUGCGAAAUUGGCUCCAUGGGAGAAGUUUGUACCAACUGAGUCGAGAUAUGCAUGGAGAUAUGGGUGGCCAAGGCUUUGGGCGAUGAAGUCUAUAACAAGCCGGCCGUCACAGUACCGCCCCACCGGCCUCCGGAAAAAUGUCUCCCCGUUCGGAGGCGGCGCCGGUCCGAAGGCCGA